GCUCUAGUUCAGUGAUACAGCAUCUGCUUUGCAUCUAGAAGAUCCCAGGUUCAAAACCUGGUUUCUCCA